AUGCGAUUAACUGGUGUGAAUUGCAGAAUCCCGUGAACCAUCGAGUCUUUGAACGCAAGUUGCGCCCGAAGCCUUGGCUGAGGGCACGUCUGCCUGGGUGUCACGCAUCGCGUUGCCUCCAAACCCUUCACCCUUCGAACGUUGCGGUGAUGGUCUGGGUGCGGAAGCUGGCCUCCCGCGGCCACUAGCCACGGAUGGCCCAAACACGUGCUAGGGAAGCGAAGCGCCACGGCAUUCGGUGGUUGAUCCAAGCCCCAGAAGCAGUGCCGGUGGUGGCCGCAUCUGUCCCUAGCCCACGACCCUAAACGUUAACCAACGCGACCUCAGGUCAGGCGGGGCUACCCGCUGAGUUUAAGCAUAUCAAUAAGCGGAGGAAAAGAAACUAACAAGGAUUCCCCUAGUAACGGCGAGCGAACCGGGAAAUGCCCACCAUGAGAAUCGGGCGCUUGCGUCCGAAUUGUAGUCUGGAGAAGCGUCA
rnacentral:rRNA from 1 species